CGUUGUCAACUCGUUUGAGUAUCACUAGAACGUUGAUCAAACACAUGUGGGAUUGUGUCAGAAAAGUCCAAAAUGUCAGCCAGCAAGUACGACGAAAGUUUGAUUUUUGAAGGGGUAUAAUUGACUUUUGGGACGAUACCCAAAGAAGGAUUACAAAAUACUAUGCAGGGGGAAUUUCACUAAACGGCAACCACCGUCAAGUCGCGAUUUCUCCCGAUAAAUUUAGAAAGCAGGAAAAGUUGACACGUGGCGGUCAGAUUUUAGAAACCCCCAUGUCGAAGCGCAGCUGAGUUUAGCGUUGGUAUAAUGCUUAUUUUAGUCCCUAUACUGUGCUAGGAUUUGAUAUUUAAUCCUAUUAUUUAAUUUUGCGUAAUUCAAUCCCUUUAUUCUUAUACUGUUAUUAAUAGGUCUAUUUUCUAUUUAGUAAGAGGAGGAGAUAUUGGAUUAUCUAGAUUUAAAUAUUCGAUCUUGUUGAGUGUUUUAGAGUUUGUCAUCUUCAGAUGGGUUAAACUAUGUAUUUAUAUGAUACGGUUAUUGUUCAUAAA